rnacentral:rRNA from 1 species
UUUGAUUGAUCCUGGCUCAGAUUGAACGCUGGCGGCAUGCCUUACACAUGCAAGUCGAACGGCUGCACGGGGGCAACCCUGGUGGCGAGUGGCGAACGGGUGAGUUAUACAUCGGAACGUGUCCUGUAGUGGGGGAUAGCCCGGCGAAAGCCGGAUUAAUACCGCAUACGAUCUACGGAAGAAAGCGGGGGAUCGCAAGACCUCGCGCUAUAGGGGCGGCCGAUGGCAGAUUAGCUAGUUGGUGGGGUAAAGGCCUACCAAGGCGACGAUCUGUAGCUGGUCUGAGUGUGACGACCAGCCACACUGGGACUGAGACACGGCCCAGACUCCUACGGGAGGCAGCAGUGGGGAAUUUUGGACAAUGGGGGAAACCCUGAUCCAGCUAUGCCGCGUGUGUGAAGUAGGCCUUCGGGUUGUAAAGCACUUUUGUCCGGAAAGUAAAACUUCUGCCCUAAUACGGUGGGAGGAUGACGGUACCGGAAGAAUA